GUCCUUGUAGCAUAAUAUAUAGCACGUUGAACUUUUAAUUCAAAGGUCGUGGGUUCGAAUCCCACCGGGGAUG